rnacentral:rRNA from 1 species
UACGAAGGGGGGCUAGCGUUGCUCGGAAUUACUGGGCGUAAAGCGCACGUAGGCGGCUUUCUAAGUCGGGGGUGAAAUCCUGGAGCUCAACUCCAGAACUGCCUUCGAUACUGGAGAGCUCGAGUCCGGGAGAGGUGAGUGGAACUGCGAGUGUAGAGGUGAAAUUCGUAGAUAUUCGCAAGAACACCAGUGGCGAAAGGCGGCAUCCUGGACCGACAUUGACGCUGAUGAGCGAAAGCUAGGGGAGCAAACGGG